rnacentral:rRNA from 1 species
GACGAACGCUGGCGGCGUGCUUAACACAUGCAAGUCGAACGGAAAGGCCCUGCUUUUGUGGGGUGCUCGAGUGGCGAACGGGUGAGUAACACGUGAGUAACCUGCCCUUGACUUUGGGAUAACUUCAGGAAACUGGGGCUAAUACCGGAUAGGAGCUCCUGCUGCAUGGUGGGGGUUGGAAAGUUUCGGCGGUUGGGGAUGGACUCGCGGCUUAUCAGCUUGUUGGUGGGGUAGUGGCUUACCAAGGCUUUGACGGGUAGCCGGCCUGAGAGGGUGACCGGCCACAUUGGGACUGAGAUACGGCCCAGAAUGCAACGGGAGGCAGCAGUGGGGAAUAUUGCACAAUGGGCGGAAGCCUGAUGAAGAAACGCCGCGUGCGGGAUGACGGCCUUCGGGGUGUAAACCGAUUUCGCCUGUGACGAAGCGUGAGUGACGGUAAUGGGUAAAGAAGCACCGGCUAACUACGUG